AAGUUUUUGCCAUUGAAUCAUCAAGAAAUUGUUUCAAGGUUGGUGCCCCCCUCAUUGCUGUGUUCCUCUAAGAAAGAAUUGUUUGUCAAGUUAUGUAAACCACGACCAAUUGACGACGGUAACAAGCAUGAUUGCAAAUUAUGAAGGCUCAAAGCAAAAUCACAAAUUGGUCGAAUAUGUACUCUGUCUUGAAGAAUUUACAGAACCUACCAACACCUUGUACAUUUGCUACAUUCUUCAAAAAUGGCAGUCAUGAUCAUGCAAGACGUUGCUAGUCCACAGAAGUACAUCAGAAUAAAACUUUAAUAGAUUGGAAACAGGGUGGCUUUUGAAAAAGUUGCAAUUGCAAAUUGGAAAAAAUAUACGAACGUAUGCUUAA